UACGUAGGGGGCUAGCGUUGUCCGGAAUCAUUGGGCGUAAAGCGCGUGUAGGCGGUCCGGUAAGUCCGCUGUGAAAGUCGGGGGCUCAACCCUCGAAUGCCGGUGGAUACUGUCGGGCUAGAGUGCGGAAGAGGCGAGUGGAAUUCCUGGUGUAGCGGUGAAAUGCGCAGAUAUCAGGAGGAACACCAAUUGCGAAGGCAGCUCGCUGGGACGUUACUGACGCUGAGAUGCGAAAGCGUGGGGAGCAAACAGG
rnacentral:rRNA from 1 species